rnacentral:tRNA from 1 species
UGGGAUAUAGCUCAGUGAUACACAGUGCCUGCCUGACAAGCAUGAGGGCUUGAGUUUGAUUCUUGAUACCAA